rnacentral:rRNA from 1 species
GAGUAUUGGUUUACGGUUAACGUCCGCUAAACGGACGCGACCUAACCCUCGCUGUGUUGUUAUAGUGUGUACACACGGGACUGCCGGUCUUAAGCCGGAGGAAGGUGGGAUGAUGUCAAGUCAGCAUGGCCUUUAUAUCCUGGGCUACACACACGCUACAAUGGCCAACACAAUAGGUUGCUAAGCCGCGAGGUGGCGCCAAUCCAUAAAGUUGGUCUCAGUUCAGAUUGUAGGCUGCAACCCGCCUGCAUGAAGAUGGAGUUGCUAGUAACCGCAGGUCAGCUAUACUGCGGUGAAUACGUUCCCGGGGCUU